UGGGGAAUCUUGGACAAUGGGGGCAACCCUGAUCCAGCGACGCCGCGUGGGUGACGAAGGCCUUAGGGUUGUAAAGCCCUUUUCUCGGGGAAGAUGAUGACGGUACCCGAGGAAUAAGCACCGGGUAACUCCGUUCCAGGAGCCGCGGUAAGACGGAGGGUGCAAGCGUUGUUCGGAAUUACUGGGCGUAAAGGGCGCGUAGGCGGCCAGGGAAGUCGGAUGUGAAAGCCCGGGGCUCAACCUCGGAAUUGCAUUCGAAACUUUUUGGCUAGAGAACGGAAGAGGAGAGUGGAAUACCCAGUGUAGAGGUGAAAUUCGUAGAUAUUGGGUGGAACACCGGGGGCGAAAGCGGCUCUCUGGUCCGGUUCUGACGCUGAGGCGCGAAAGCGUGGGGAGCAAACAGGAUUAGAUACCCGUGUAGUCC
rnacentral:rRNA from 1 species